GACGAACGCUGGCGGCGUGCUUAACACAUGCAAGUCGAACGCUGAACCCGCUUCGGUGGGGGAUGAGUGGCGAACGGGUGAGUAACACGUGGGCAACCUGCCCCCGGCUCUGGGAUAACUACAAGAAAUUGGGGCUAAUACUGGUUGCGACUGCUGGCCGCAUGGUCUGGUGGUGGAAAGGGUUUCCGCAUGGGGAUGGUUCCGCGGUCAACCCGCUUGUUGGUGGGGUAGUGGUCUACCAAGGCGACGACGGGUAGCCGGCCUGAGAGGGUGACCGGCCACACUGGGACUGAGACGCCGCCCGUACGCCUACGGGAGGCAGCGGUGAGGGAUAUUGCGCAAUGGGCGGAGGCCUGACACAGGGACGCCGGGCGGGGGAUGACGGCCUUCAGGUUGUAAACCUCUUUCAGCAGGAAAGAUGCGCAAGUGACGGUACCUGCAGAGGAAGCACCGGCCAACUACGUG
rnacentral:rRNA from 1 species